GAACGCGAAGAACCUUACCAGGUCUUGACAUUGAUGGACAGAACUAGAGAUAGUUCCUCUUCUUCGGAAGCCAGAAAACAGGUGGUGCACGGUUGUCGUCAGCUCGUGUCGUGAGAUGUUGGGUUAAGUCCCGCAACGAGCGCAACCCCUAUCUUAUGUUGCCAGCACUUCGGGUGGGAACUCAUGAGAGACUGCCGCAGACAAUGCGGAGGAAGGCGGGGAUGACGUCAAAUCAUCAUGCCCCUUAUGACCUGGGCUACACACGUACUACAAUGGGAGUUAAUAGACAGAAGCGAAACCGCGAGGUGGAGCAAACCCGAGAAACACUCUCUCAGUUCGGAUCGUAGGCUGCAACUCGCCUACGUGAAGUCGGAAUCGCUAGUAAUCGCAGGUCAGCAUACUGCGGUGAAUACGUUCCCGGGUCUUGUACACACC
rnacentral:rRNA from 1 species